rnacentral:rRNA from 1 species
UACGUAGGGGGCAAGCGUUGUCCGGAUUUAUUGGGCGUAAAGAGCGUGUAGGCGGCCAGGUAGGUCUGCUGUGAAAACUCGAGGCUUAACCUCGAGCUGUCGGCGGAAACCAUCUGGCUAGAGUCCGGAAGAGGAGAAUGGAAUUCCCGGUGUAGCGGUGAAAUGCGCAGAUAUCGGGAAGAACACCCGUGGCGAAGGCGAGUCCCUGGACAACACCUGACACUGAGGCGCGAAAGCUAGGGGAGCAAACAGG